AACAGUAAUUUGAUGAUAUUGCCCCCCUAUAACGAAAUACUGUUCUGAUUACCGUAGAUAAAAAAAGCCCUAUGGGAUCCCACACACUAGCGACGUUGACUUGUCAGCGCUCGCGCAGCGACCACUCGGCGCUGGCUUAGCGUCGACUGGGCGCUGGCUCAAUGUCGAUUGGCGCUGGCUCAAUGUCGACUGGGCGCUGGCUCAAUGUCGAUUGGUGCUGGCUCACGGCGCUGCUGCGUGGGUUGGGUCAGUGCGCCACUGCCAGGUCCUCGCUGACGUCACAAACUCGUUACUAUGCUGUGGAAGGCUCAGGCUUAUAUGCGCGAGCACCGGGACGAGGUGCGCGAGCUUACGGCGCUGCUUCGAGGGUAGUCAGAUGAAUACAAACAACAGUAGGUCCACUGCACAUAAUAAUCUUGAAAGACUUAUUAGCAGGUCUGUAGAAGAAUGUCUGUCUGCGUGUUUUUCUUAGGUGAGUCAGCAAUUUUCCUGUGAUUUUAGACUUAUGAGUUUCUAAUAAGUUCGUGCUAUUUUUUACUUAUGAACUAUGUUACUAUGAGAUGUCAGACCUAUAUAAAUGAAUGAAUUUGUAGGCAAAAGUUGGUUCGAUUGUAAAAAAGAGUUCUUUCGUAUUUAACAACAUACGAAAACAUUUUAUUAAGUUAUUUUAUUACUUUACUUUUACUAGUAAACAAUGUAACAUUACAGGGUCGGUAUAAGUAUAUGAAAUGGGUAGAAUACCAAAAUCUGUGACCGUAGUGUGUUAUUUAAUUUUAGUACAUAAUAUCACUGCUCACCGUUUCAGGUUUUAUCCAUAAUUUGGGUAAAAUAAACAUUAGGAAUAAGUAGUAGUUUGCCUAAUUGAAGAAUAUUUGUAUCGGACUUGCAACGAAGUUUAUAACUGGCUACAUAAUUAUCUCGAAAACAUUAUAAUCUUCAUAAUUACCGUCGAAUACAUUAUUAAUUUAUCAUCUAUAUUCGACGGGUGGCAAGAACCAGCUUUUUGAGGUGGUAGAGGUUAUUUUUGAAAGUUGGAAAAAGGAGGAAAUUAAAAUAAAAAGGAUUUCUAUACCACAAGAUUUCUUAAAGACAUUAUUUUGUGUGAUAUGUUAUAAAAAUAACCAAUCUUCUGUUCCGUCGGCUGCCGAAAUUCGUUGCAAGCCAAAUUUUUAUUUAUUCUAUGAAUAGGGUGUGAUAUUACCCACCCUGUAACAAUUGCAUUGAGAGUCAGGCAUAAAAUAUUGCUAGGGAUGUACAAUUUUUCGAUAACUCGAUAUUCUAUAUUGAAGUGAAGUAGUUAAAGAAGUAAUGAGAGACGAAAGCAAGUGCCUGAUAUUGCAACCACUCGUUACGUAAUGUAGAUUAAGAGAUUAAUUUUGCUUGUUCAUAGAUAUAUCAAUUAAAUGUACCGAUAUUUAGUUAUGUAUGUAGUUAAAAUGUCAGAUUGUUGUUGCAUGCUUAUCUUGGUUGUUGUUGGUCUUUUAGUUAACAAGGGUGUAGUUUGUUAGCUGUUUUAGUGUUUAAACAUUUUGUCAUAUUUAGCUGUAGUAUGUAAUGUUUUACCGAAUGAAUGUAAGUACAAGCUGCAUGGAUAAAGAAUUCGAACAAAAUAAUGACAGACGUGAGUGCUCUUCUGUGUCGUUUGACUAAGGGUAGACAAAAAUUUUAGAUUUUUAUCUUGGUGAUAAUUUAUUGAUAUGCAGUUAUCGCUCAAAUUUUUAAUUUGGUAUCAAAAUUCAGAUCAUAUUUGAUGUUACCGCUCACUAUCGAUACAAACUAAAGUAAAGUAUCGAUAACAUAAACUCAACAAUAAUAUAGACGAUCAUAAAACUCAAUACUACUGGUGAUCAAUACCUGUGACUAAAAACACACACCAUUAAAAUAUAUCGUUUGUGUAAUCGUAUCGAUAAUCUAAUAUUAUAUCGAGAAACGAAUAUUGUUAGUUCCACAUCACUAGAUGAAAGCUGUAUUAUGCUUUUGUAUGCAUUUCUACAAAUUAAAAUGAUUAUUUACAAAUAAUAAUUAAACAAAUAUCGUAUAAUCGAAUACAGUUAAAGAACUAAUAUUUUUUACUUAAAUUAUGAUGAAUAGCUGUAAUAAAAACAUUUAAACAUAAUUCUUUAUCUACGCGGAUUGUCCAGAAUAAACGAGUUAAUGUAAAAGAUAGUCUGAAAAAACAUCACAAAUAUACUAAUAGCUUUCUUUGUUAAAACAUUUAUUAUUAAAAUAUUUGUACACGAACAAAAUUAUGUAAGAGAAAACGAAAAUUAUUCGAGUAUUAAGAAAAUGCCUUUGUUGUUUUUUAACCCGUAAAAUCUAUCUUAGAUUGUGACAACAGUCGUCUUGUUUAGAUUAUUUACCAUAGUUCUGCAGUUAAACCGCAAAUGAGACGAUUGUCCAUUGUUGCAUAGUAAAAUAUACCAAUUGCAUAUUACUAGUCAAAGUGGUUUUACUUUAAUUUAAAAAAUAUUACGUGUUUCCGUUUUAGUACCUGACUGUACUAUACUAUUUCUGUUUUAUGUAUAAAUUAUGUAGUCAUGUCGUUUCAUCAUAAUGAAGUUAUUUUUUUAAAGAUCAAUAAUUUUCUUAUAAUUAAUUGUUUGUGAAUCGUUAUAAUUUAAAGUACACAUGAAUGCAAAAUAAUGUAUGAUUUCAAUUGUUAAAAAUUGUUGAAGUUCAUCAAUUUAAUAAAUUGAAGAAAAUACCUAAUGUAAGAUGUAUUCAAAAGAAAUAUGUAUCAAGUAUUUAUUUAUGUUCUGUAAAAUUAAACUUAAAAAUCUAUAAGAAGAAAUGAAAUAUUUCAGAUCUAUCAACAGCUUUGACAUUUCUAUGUCAAAAUGCCAUUCACGAUUUGUCGUCCUACAUGGUAUUGGUAUAUAUAUUUCCCUUAUAAUUUCCAUUAUAACAAGGAAAUCUCUUCCCAUAGCAUUUUUACCGUGUAAUCCAAAUAAACGAUAAUAUGAAAUCCAGGUGUUUUAUUAAAAUACAACAAUUAUUUUCAAAGCUCUUUAUUCUUUAUAUUAUUUUUCUAUUCUAAUGCUUAUACAAAGACUCAAUAAUAUCACAUUUCUGAUGUGGAUAUUAUCAAUCCACAGACUAAGCUAAAA